GGGAAAGGUGGACACAGACACACAGAGAGGAGAAUACCUUGUGAAGACACAGACACAGAGGCAAGACGGCCAUUUGAAGGCAGAGGCAGAGACUGGAGUGAUGUACCUACAAGCGAGGAAUGCCAAGGAUUGCCAGCAACCCCCGGGAGCUGGAGAGACAAGGAAGGACCCUUCCCUGGAGCCUUCAGAGAGAGCAUGACGCUGUCAACACCUCGAUUUAAGACUUCCAGCCUCCGGAAUGGAACUUGAAAGUGGGACUCCACAAGCAACUGACAGAAAGACAGCCUCACCCUCAUCAACCACCAUUCUUGCUCCUCAUCUCACUGGUUCUUCAGAAGAGGGGACUCGAGCAUCGGGAAGGGAGUUGGACUGCUGGCCCCACGCUUCUUCCCAAGAAACCAAAGGCUGUGGAGAUCCAACUGCCCUCCUGCUUUCUGGUGUCGGCUCCUAAGUGAGGACAGGCCGGAGAAAUCGACUUCCUUCCUCGGUUGUGCCUCACCCUGAUUCUCCUAAAAAAUAUCCUUGAAACUGGCUCCCAGGAAUCUUUUAUGACAACGCUCUUCUCCUACAGCUGCCUUUGGGCUACCACCCCCUAAUUUCCGACAAGCUACCAUUUUCUGUCCACUGUUUCAGUUCACGGUCACUAGAUGCUUUGUGGCAGAUAGUUCUAGUCAGGGGCUCUCCCGUGGCGACAAUCAAGGUUGUGGUAAUGGUGUGGCUGAGAAUUUACAGAAAGCCUCCACCUUAGACAGGGCUCUGCAAACAUCAGUUAGCCUCAAGGGAGGACCGGAUUUACUGUCUCCACCCUUUCCCACAGGUAUUUAAGGAGGUUAAUAGAAGUAUGUCUCUUGAGAAACCUCCAAACGCUGGUCAGAACAAUUGCUGGACGAGGAUCUCGCUGUGAUAGAUUUGUUACAUUUUAUGGCUCCAAAUUCUUUACUUUUGUCUAUAGCCAAACACUCUGAUGUGGCUUUGCUCUUCUUACAAGAGGCAGGAUCUGUUUCCCAAUCUCCUUGAAUAUGGGCUGGCCCUGUGACUUGCUUGGGCCGAGAGGAUGCCGUGGAAAUGAAGAGGUGCCAGUUCAGAGCCUAAACUUCGAGAAUAAUUUGUCCACUUGUUCCUCGUGUGUCUCCAUUAUGACAUGAGGGCCUGCUUGAGCCUCCCAGCUGGAAGAUCAGAGUCAUGUGGAACAGACCGAAUUGCCUCAGCUGCCUGACCAAAGCCAGCUUCGAUCAGCUGACAGCAGUGAGACCGGCCAAGGUCAGCAAGGCCACCUCACUGACCACCCCCGACAUGUGAGCAAUUAACGCUUAUUGUUGUAUGCCACUGAGGCUUUGAGGGCUGUGUUACAUAGCAUUAUUGUGGCCAUAGAUGACUGACAUGUCCACUUAGAAAUUAGAGACGACACAUCCUUUGAAGAAUUAUCGGAAGCAACUUGCACCUGCAAAUAAAAAAAUGGGUCCCUGAAGAUUGCCCUUCACUUGUGUUGCCCGGAGCUAAGUAUCUUUCAUUGGUCUUUAAGAUGUGUUUCAUACCUUGGUAAAACCAGAGAAUGAGCACAACAAGAAGUGAAAAGUGUUCUUUAUUGGGCAUCGAAUAGAGGUGGGAGAAGCAAAGCCAAGAAAAAUGACACCUACCUAUAUUUCCCCACCCACAUGAGGUGGGUUGGGUGUAGCAGUUAACAUUCCUCAUGUUGGCACCUGGAUAAAACUCCUCUACAUGUAAAGGUCAGUGUACGUACAGAUCACUGAAAGGUAACCUUUCUAAGACUUAUUGAUGGCUAAUGGCAGUGUUUGGCUUCCCUAAUUUCAAUGUGGAUGAGAAGCACAAAGAAUGUGGCAAAACAAAUUCCUGAAUUCAAGUCUCUUGUGCUCUAGCAAUUGUAGGAUUAUUGGCCUCCUGAGCUGGAGUUCCUGAACUCUGACACUUAAGGAUAAAUAAAAGUACUCUGUUCUACCUUUUAAAAUAUUUUAUAGAGCAGACCAUACAGCAGAGUUUACAAGAUCAACACCAAGCUUCUGGCUAUUUGGUUAUAUAUAUUGGUCAUAUAUCCUGACAAUGAUUGAAUGAAGCCUGUGGAGGAACUUCAUUAGUGUGCUUUGGUCAUUCAAGGCCUGCCAUCAAUCCAUGUCAGCAAGUGUACUUUCUGAAAGUGAGUCUUGUCUCUCGGAGAUUAAUUUAUAGAUGGGGGAGGAUAUAAACAAGUUGCCUCCAGUUUCCCAGUGAAACACUGAUUUCUCUUCCCUCUUCUUACUCAUCUCAAUUCAGUCUCUGAGGGCUAGGGACACACACUACGUGCCUUUAGGCAGGGAGAUCCCUCCAGCUGGUUCCUGGUCCCAUGGGCCCCUGUGGCUUCCCUCACAGAUGCCUCUGUCUCUUGGACCUUGGCGUGAGCAUCGAGAAUGACCACUGUCUUGGCUCUGUCAAGGGAAACCAUUGUGUGCCUCUGUCUGAUGGCAGAAUGAGAACACAGAGAUGGAAUUCAGAGGCAGCAGCUGAGAGGAUGGCAACAGAGCACACCCUCUCCUCUGUGCCUCAGUGGGAUUUUGGGAGGAGACCACGAUUUUUAAAUGAUCAUUCAUGAGGGAGUGAGCCAACACAAAGACAGACUCAGUGGGAUUGGCAUAAAUAAAGAUUUCUUUCUUUCUAAGUGUAAUGUAUGGGUCAUUUUUCUUACAAGACUGCUGUGAUUCAAAUUUAGUCCUCUAGCCAAAUUCUAAAACCCAAUUCUGGAUGAAUACAGAAUUUAUAAACACUUGAUUUGUUAUACAAGCUGUAGAAGGAAAGAUUUGCCAUUAGGCAAUCACAUCUUUGCAAAAUUCAGUUUUUACAUUGGAGAGCAAGAGUUCCACAGGGAAUUGGCUAACUGGAAGGCUUAGUUACUGGAAACCGCAAACACACAAAAAAUUGAAGAAUACAGACCCUUAG
ensembl:lncRNA